rnacentral:tRNA from 2 species
GGUCCGUUAGCUCAGCUGGUAGAGCAAAUGACUCUUAAUCAUUGGGUCAAAGGUUCGAAUCCUUUACGGAUCACCA